AACAGCCCAUUUUCAGAAGCAUCUUACCUUCGUAUACAGGGGCCAUCGGUGCAAGGGUUCCUGUUAUUCAUGGCAAAAAUAUAAAGCGAGAUUUCUUCUCAAAACUCAAUGAAAAUCUGCCAUCUUGAAACAGUGACGAGAGAGUCGCCGCGGUCUCCUGCAUUUACCGGCCCAGUUCAUUAGUUCCGAUGCGCAGAGGGGAGCGACGGAAGAGACGGCUGUGCGAUCCGGUGUCCCAGCCAGCCUGCGAGGCUUUUUGUUGUUGUUUUCUUCCUUUUUUCUUUAUCUGGAGGCUCGGGCGACGAGCCGCGGCGGACGGGUUCACUUCAGCUAUCGUGCGACAUUGUCUGUGGAGCGAGGAGUCUCUGCAAAAGUUGCAGCCGUUCGGAGCGCAGCGAGUUUUCUGCUGUACAGUGAGCGAGUCGAGCGCAGAGCGAGUCGAUGGAGGCGACGGGGAUCGCACGCGAGCACCGCGACCCGCCUCACAGAAACAAAAUGAUGCUGGUGGUGAUACAUAAAAAUAUACGAUGGAAGCAAAUAUAUAAAACAUAAAAAGCAUUUGAGUCAAUGCCUGAUCAGAAAACGGAAUAUCAGAAUGAAAUAAAAGAUGAUUCAAAAUUGAUUAAAAAAAAUAGAUAAGAAAACAGCAAUUGCGUUACUAUUAUUAUAAAACACGAAUUAACCAAUACGUCUCUAUUACCACUUUUGCCGUAAUUAAGCUAUUUUUAGGAUUUUUUCUUCUCCUUCCUCCUUUUGAAUGUGAAAGUUUGAGUUGGAUGCACACCAUAUAUUCAAAAAGAUAACGUAUUAACCUACUAACUAGUAGUACUACUAUUACUAAUACAAAAUAUUAAUAAUAAUAACAACAACAACAACAAUGAUACAAAUAAUAAUACUAUGAGUAAACCGGCUAUUGAUUGUUACAUGAUACAGUUAUCUGGAGUUGAUGCGACUCUUAACGCGGCCCGUGCAAAGUGCGUCGGAUGAUUCUGCGGGCGUUUCGUCGUGCCUGCGCCAGACUGAAGCGCUCCUACAGUAGGCUAUGACG
ensembl:lncRNA